UGGGGAAUAUUGGGCAAUGGGCGCAAGCCUGACCCAGCAAUGCCGCGUGGGUGAAGAAGGCCCUCGGGUCGUAAAGCCCUUUCGGCGGGGACGAUGGUGACGGUACCCGCAGAAGAAGCCCCGGCUAACUUCGUGCCAGCAGCCGCGGUAAUACGAAGGGGGCUAGCGUUGCUCGGAAUGACUGGGCGUAAAGGGCGCGUAGGCGGCGCAUUUAGUCAGGCGUGAAAGCCCCGGGCUCAACCCAGGGACUGCGCUUGAUACGGCUGUGCUAGAGGACGGGAGAGGGCCGCGGAAUUCCCAGUGUAGAGGUGAAAUUCGUAGAUAUUGGGAAGAACACCGGUGGCGAAGGCGGCGGCCUGGCCCGUUACUGACGCUGAGGCGCGACAGCGUGGGGAGCAAACAGGAUUAGAUACCCUGGUAGUCCACGCCGUAAACGAUGAGCGCUGGGUGUUGGGUGGCUUAGCCAUUCAGUGCCGAAGCAAACGCGAUAAGCGCUCCGCCUGGGGAGUACGGCCGCAAGGCU
rnacentral:rRNA from 1 species